rnacentral:rRNA from 1 species
CCUACGGGUGGCAGCAGUGGGGCAUAUUGGACAAUGGGCGCAACCCUGAUCCAGCAACGCCGCGUGAGUGAAGAAGGCUUUCGGGAUGUAAAGCUCUAUCAUCAGGGAAGAAACUAAUGACGGUACCUGAGCAAGAAGCCACGGCUAACUACGUGCCAGCAGCCGCGGUAAUACGUAGGUGGCAAGCGUUAUCCGGAUUUACUGGGUGUAAAGGGAGCGUCGACGGCAAAGCAAGUCCGGAGUGAACAGCGUGGGCUCAACCGGUGGACUGCGUUGGAAACUGUUUUGCUGGAGUGCAGGAUAGGUAGGCGGAAUUCCUAGUGUAGCGGUGAAAUGCGUAGAUAUUAGGAGGAACACCAGUGGCGAAGGCGGUUUACUGGACUGUAACUGACGUUGAGGCUCGAAAGCGUGGGGAGCAAACAGGAUUAGAUACCCGGGUAGUC